AAGCACGGCUUCGCAGUUCGCACACGGGGAGCUUGCUCCCAGAGAUGCUGCGGGGAAAGUCCCCGUGCCUUGGUGCAGAGAGUGCGAGUGGGAGACCGCAGGGUUCGUGCCAGACCUCCAGUGGUGAUGCUGCUCGCGGAGCCUUGGUGGCGUGCCGUGAGCGCUUAUGAUUGGAGCGCCAACAGAACGGGGCUCACUCUCC
rnacentral:RNase_MRP_RNA from 14 species